GUGCCUUAAUGGAGAAGACAAAAACGAUGUUACAAUGGUUAGAACAGCAGAGACAGCAAAUCCGAAACAAAGGUGCAGAUGAUUCAUACCCUCAGAUCAAGAAACGAUAGAGAGGCCUCAUGAUGAAGUUACAAGAACAACAAGAAGUGAUUCACAGAAUGAGAGAAGAGAAUAAAGCAGCAGCAAAAUAGCUACCGAGUAAGUCAAAGUCUGUAGCUGCACAAAGAGGUACAUUGUAGGGGUUGGAUGCCCAAAAGAAGUUCACACUGAGGCAGAAGUUAGCUCGGUAAGACUUGUGUCAUCUGGCAACCAGGAAGUUUCUUCAGAGUUUACAGUCAGAUCAAGCCAGGCACCAUUUUUACCCCCAUUUUGUUACCUUGGAUGUGUCUUAAUAGAUAUUACAUAGCCGAAGAUGUCCAUAUUUACUCACAGGACACAUGGAAAUAGGAGAUUGGAGAGCAGGGGAAACAACUGGUACAUCAGACAAGUGGUUAUCUAUACCAGCAUUGUAUCCAUUGUUUUUCAACAAUCAACAAGAUAAUAAACCAUCAGUGCGGGGGCGGCCCUUGCUCUCCCAAGAGCAUAAGAUCAAAUAAAAGUUCCGAGAUCUGAUCUGAAGAAGUUUGCAGAAGUGUUUUAUGCUGUACCCCAUGAGGAGAAAGUAAUAAACUCUAUAAUUUCAAGUGCCGUAGAUGAAUUCUAGGAACAAAGACAGUAUGGCGAGCCAUUAACCGAUCUCCACCCUUCAGAAGCAUUUUAUACACAUGAAGAGAUUGGCUCAGAUUUGAUAAGUAACAGUAGACGUGUGUUCAAGAAACUAUUAUUUGACUUACCUGGUAGAUUAUUAGAAACAUUUAUAAAGAGGAAGAAUAUUAUUCUCCUGUUGCUUGGCACAAACCAAAAAGAAAAACUAACACAUUUCACAAAGGUGCUUCCCCUCCGACUACUAUAGAUGAGCUAAAACCCGUGGUUCAGGAAGCAGUUAUUGACAUAUAAGGUUUAAAUGGGGCCAAAAAAUCAUUGGAAAAAACUAAAUGAGGUAUUCGUGAAAGAAGGAUUUUGUUGACACAAUUUUGGUGCAAAAAUUGCGCGAAGAAGAGCCUGAGUGGGUUAAUUAUGAUGACGAUGAAUUGGCAGUGAAAAUGCAACUAACUGAAAAAAAUAUUUAAUGAUUUAUUGACAGAUACUGUUCAGACAAUGAACAAAAUCUUUCGCAAGAAGCAAAGUUUGCAGCAGUAGACAUAGGCAGCUAUUUGAUCUGGAUUAUGUAAAAGCUUUUGUGAUCUGAUUUCAUGCAGAUGCUUUUUUCUGAUCUGAGUG